GACGAACGCUGGCGGCGUGCCUAAUACAUGCAAGUCGAGCGGACGAAUCGAAAGCUUGCUUUUGAUUCGUUAGCGGCGGACGGGUGAGUAACACGUGGGCAACCUGCCCUGUAGACGGGGAUAACACCGAGAAAUCGGUGCUAAUACCGGAUAACACGAAAUGUCGCAUGACGUUUCGUUGAAAGACGGCGCAAGCUGUCGCUACAGGAUGGGCCCGCGGCGCAUUAGCUAGUUGGUGAGGUAACGGCUCACCAAGGCGACGAUGCGUAGCCGACCUGAGAGGGUGAUCGGCCACACUGGGACUGAGACACGGCCAAGACUCCUACGGGAGGCAGCAGUAGGGAAUCUUCCGCAAUGGACGAAAGUCUGACGGAGCAACGCCGCGUGAGCGAAGAAGGCCCUCGGGUCGUAAAGCUCUGUUGUUAGGGAAGAACAAGUAACGCAGUAACUGGCGUUACCGUGACGGUACCUAACGAGAAAGCCACGGCUAACUACGUG
rnacentral:rRNA from 1 species